AUAAGUGCAUGUGGUGGAUGCCUUGGCGAUCACAGGCGAUGAAGGACGUGCAAGCCUGCGAAAAGCUGCGGGGAGCUGGCAAUGAAGCUUUGAUCCGCAGAUGUCCGAAUGGGGAAACCCGGCCCGUAAGGGUCAUCCCUGGCUGAAUACAUAGGCCAGAGGAGGCGAACCGAGCGAACUGAAACAUCUAAGUAGCUCGAGGAACAGAAAUCAACCGAGAUUCCCAAAGUAGUGGCGAGCGAACUGGGAGUAGCCUGCACGACUAAACCAUUUACUUAGCAGAACGGUCUGGAAAGUCCGGCGAUACAGGGUGAUAGCCCCGUAUGCGAAAAGUAGAUGGCGGGUCUGAGCGUGCGACAAGUAGGGCGGGACACGUGAAAUCCUGUUUGAAGAUGGGGGGACCAUCCUCCAAGGCUAAAUACUCGUGAUCGACCGAUAGUGAACCAGUACCGUGAGGGAAAGGCGAAAAGAACCCCGGGAGGGGAGUGAAAUAGAUCCUGAAACCGCAUGCAUACAAACAGUGGGAGCCUCGCAAGGGGUGACUGCGUACCUUUUGUAUAAUGGGUCAGCGACUUACGUUCAGUAGCGAGCUUAACCGAAUAGGGGAGGCGUAGCGAAAGCGAGUCUGAAUAGGGCGAUUCAGUUGCUGGGCGUAGACCCGAAACCAGAUGAUCUAUCCAUGGCCAGGAUGAAGGUGCCGUAACAGGUACUGGAGGUCCGAACCCACUAGUGUUGAAAAACUAGGGGAUGAGCUGUGGAUAGGGGUGAAAGGCUAAACAAAUCUGGAAAUAGCUGGUUCUCCCCGAAAACUAUUUAGGUAGUGCCUCAUGUAUCACUCUCGGGGGUAGAGCACUGUAAUGGUUGGGGGGGUCAUUGCGAUCUACCCCGCCAUAGCAAACUCCGAAUACCGAGAAGUGCGAGCAUGGGAGACAGACGGUGGGUGCUAACGUCCAUCGUCAAGAGGGAAACAACCCAGACCGCCAGCUAAGGCCCCCAAUGCGUGGCUAAGUGGAAAACGAGGUGGGAAGGCAUAGACAGCCAGGAGGUUGGCUUAGAAGCAGCCAUCCUUUAAAGAAAGCGUAAUAGCUCACUGGUCGAGUCGUCCUGCGCGGAAGAUGUAACGGGGCUCAAGCCACGAGCCGAAGCUGCGGAUCUCGAAAGAGAUGGUAGGGGAGCGUUCUGUAAGUCUGCGAAGGUGUCUGGUAACGGAUGCUGGAGAUAUCAGAAGUGCGAAUGCUGACAUGAGUAGCGAUAAAGCGGGUGAAAGGCCCGCUCGCCGAAAGCCCAAGGUUUCCUACGCAACGUUCAUCGGCGUAGGGUGAGUCGGCUCCUAAGGCGAGGCCGAAAGGCGUAGUCGAUGGGAAACAGGUCAAUAUUCCUGUACCAAUCCAUGAUGCGAUGGGGGGACGGAGAAGGUUAUAGCAGCCGGGUGUUGGACGUCCCGGUUUAAGCAGGUAGGCGUGCUGCGUAGGCAAAUCCGCGCGGCUUAGCCGAGAUGUGAUGACGAGGAGCCACGUGCUCUGAAGUGCUAGAUACCACGCUUCCAGGAAAAGCCUCUAAGCUUCAGUCAUGGAUUGACCGUACCGCAAACCGACACAGGUGGGCAGGAUGAAAAUUCUCAGGCGCUUGAGAGAACCCAGGAGAAGGAACUCGGCAAAUUGAUACCGUAACUUCGGGAGAAGGUAUGCCCCAAGUAGGUGAAAUCCCUCGCGGAUGGAGCCCAAAGGGGUCGCAGAGAAUCGGUGGCUGCGACUGUUUAAUAAAAACACAGCACUCUGCAAACACGAAAGUGGACGUAUAGGGUGUGACGCCUGCCCGGUGCCGGAAGGUUAAGUGAUGGGGUGCAAGCUCUUGAUCGAAGCCCCGGUAAACGGCGGCCGUAACUAUAACGGUCCUAAGGUAGCGAAAUUCCUUGUCGGGUAAGUUCCGACCUGCACGAAUGGCGUAACGAUGGCCACACUGUCUCCUCCUGGGACUCAGCGAAGUUGAAAUGUUUGUGAAGAUGCAAUCUCCCCGCGGCUAGACGGAAAGACCCCAUGAACCUUUACUGUAGCUUUGCAUUGGACUUUGACGGGACUUGUGUAGGAUAGGUGGGAGGCUGUGAGACGUGGUCGCCAGAUCACGAGGAGCCAUCCUUGAAAUACCACCCUGGUGUCGUUGAGGUUCUAACCUAGGCCCGUGAAUCCGGGUCGGGGACCGUGCAUGGUGGGCAGUUUGACUGGGGCGGUCUCCUCCUAAAAGGUAACGGAGGAGUUCGAAGGUUCGCUUGGUACGGUCGGACAUCGUACCUAAAGUGCAAUGGCAAAAGCGAGCUUGACUGCGAGACUGACACGUCGAGCAGGUGCGAAAGCAGGACAUAGUGAUCCGGUGGUUCUGUAUGGAAGGGCCAUCGCUCAACGGACAAAAGGUACUCUGGGGAUAACAGGCUGAUUCCGCCCAAGAGUUCACAUCGACGGCGGAGUUUGGCACCUCGAUGUCGGCUCAUCACAUCCUGGGGCUGUAGCCGGUCCCAAGGGUAUGGCUGUUCGCCAUUUAAAGUGGUACGUGAGCUGGGUUUAAAACGUCGUGAGACAGUUUGGUCCCUAUCUGCCGUGGGCGCUGGAAGUUUGAGGGGGCCUGCUCCUAGUACGAGAGGACCGGAGUGGACAUACCUCUGGUGUACCGGUUGUCACGCCAGUGGCAUCGCCGGGUAGCUAAGUAUGGAAGAGAUAAGCGCUGAAAGCAUCUAAGCGCGAAACUCGCCUCAAGAUAAGACUUCCCGGGGACUCGAUCCCCCUGAAGGGUCGUGGAAGACCACCACGUUGAUAGGCUGGGUGUGGAAGUGCAGUAAUGCAUUAAGCUAACCAGUACUAAUUGCCCGUGCGGCUUGACC
rnacentral:rRNA from 1 species